UCCAGACUCCUACGGGAGGCAGCAGUGGGGAAUAUUGCACAAUGGGGGAAACCCUGAUGCAGCGACGCCGCGUGAGUGAGGAAGUAUUUCGGUAUGUAAAGCUCUAUCAGCAGGGAAGAAAAUGACGGUACCUGACUAAGAAGCCCCGGCUAACUACGUGCCAGCAGCCGCGGUAAUACGUAGGGGGCAAGCGUUAUCCGGAUUUACUGGGUGUAAAGGGAGCGUAGACGGAAUAGCAAGUCUGAUGUGAAAACCCGGGGCUCAACUCCGGGAGUGCAUUGGAAACUGUUGAUCUAGAGUGUCGGAGAGGCAAGCGGAAUUCCUAGUGUAGCGGUGAAAUGCGUAGAUAUUAGGAGGAACACCGGUGGCGAAGGCGGCCUGCUGGACGAUGACUGACGCUGAGGCUCGAAAGCGUGGGGAGCAAACAGGAUUAGAUACCCUGGUA
rnacentral:rRNA from 1 species